UUAGGAAUCUUCCACAAUGGGCGAAAGCCUGAUGGAGCGACGCCGCGUGAGGGAUGAAGGCCCUAGGGUUGUAAACCUCUAAAAGGGGGACGAUAAUGACGGUACCCCUUGAAAAGCACCGGCUAACUCCGUGCCAGCAGCCGCGGUAAUACGGAGGGUGCAAGCGUUAUCCGGAAUCACUGGGCGUAAAGGGCGCGUAGGCGGUCUGUUAAGUCCGAUGUUAAAUCCCGGGGCUCAACCCCGGAUCAGCGUUGGAUACUGGCAGGCUCGACGGUUGGAGAGGCGAGUGGAAUUACCAGUGUAGCGGUGGAAUGCGUAGAUACUGGUAGGAACACCCAUUGCGAAGGCAGCUCGCUGGACAACACGUGACGCUGAGGCGCGAAAGUGUGGGGAGCAAACCGG
rnacentral:rRNA from 1 species